CGUGAAGAGUUUAUAACAGGACACAGUGUGAGGUCGUGAAGAGUUUAUAGGGACACAGUGUGAGGUCGUGAAGAGUUUAUAGGGACACAGUGUGAGGUCGUGAAGAGUUUAUAGGGACACAGUGUGAAGUCGUGAAGAGUUUAUAACAGGACACAGUGUGAGGUCGUGAAAAGUUUAUAACGGGACACAGUGUGAGGUCAUGAAGAGUUUAUAACGGGACACAGUGUGAGGUCGUGAAGAGUUUAUAGGGACACAGUGUGAAGUCGUGAAGAGUUUAUAGGGACACAGUGUGAGGUCGUGAAGAGUUUAUAACGGGACACAGUGUGAGGUCGUGAAGAGUUUAUAGGGACACAGUGUGAGGUCGUGAAAAGUUUAUAACGGGACACAGUGUGAGGUCGUGAAGAGUUUAUAACGGGACACAGUGUGAGGUCGUGAAGAGUUUAUAACGGGACACAGUGUGAGGUCGUGAAGAGUUUAUAGGGACACAGUGUGAGGUCGUGAAGGGUUUAUAGGGACACAGUGUGAGGUCGUGAAGAGUUUAUAGGGACACAGUGUGAGGUCGUGAAGGGUUUAUAGGGACACAGUGUGAGGUCGUGAAGAGUUUAUAGGGACACAGUGUGAGGUCGUGAAGGGUUUAUAACGGGACACAGUGUGAAGUCGUGAAGAGUUUAUAACGGGACACAGUGUGAGGUCGUGAAGAGUUUAUAGGGACACAGUGUGAGGUCGUGAAGAGUUUAUAGGGACACAGUGUGAGGUCGUGAAGAGUUUAUAACAGGACACAGUGUGAGGUCGUGAAGGGUUUAUAGGGACACAGUGUGAGGUAGCGAAGGGUUUAUAACGGGACACAGUGUGAAGUCGUGAAGAGUUUAUAACGGGACACAGUGUGAGGUCGUGAAGAGAAAAAAAAGCUCAUGAACUGCAAGUGAAGUGUUUCUCCAUUUUUGCUUUAUUAAACCCAGGAAUGGGAAACAUUUUGCAUAUAAUAUCAUUCUUUGUGUGUGUGUGUGUGUGUGUGCGUGCACUUUAUAAACAUGCUUGCCUACCCCUGCUUUCCAGUACUGUUAAUAACAAGCCCUCAUCAAUCCCCCUUAUUUUAGAAGUUAGUAAUAUUACUUUUUUCUGCAUUUUGAGCCAAAGAAAAUUUCACAAACGUGUUAAAUACCUCAGACUCUACUUUUAAUCAUCUAAUUAUACAUUAGGUAUCUAGUGCACUGUGUAGAGUUUUAGAACACUGUUGUUAUACCAUAUGUAGUGAUAUA
ensembl:lncRNA